UGGUCAGUGGUCGAGUGGUCGAAAACAGCGGACUGUUAAUCCGCCGAGGCGAAAGCCCCAUCGCAGGUUCAAAUCCUGCCUGGCCAGCCA
rnacentral:tRNA from 1 species